UACGGAGGAUGCAAGCGUUAUCCGGAAUGAUUGGGCGUAAAGCGUCCGCAGGUGGCAACGUAAGUCUGCUGUUAAAGAGUGAGGCUCAACCUCAUAAGAGCAGUGGAAACUACAUAGCUAGAGUGCGUUCGGGGCAAGGGGAAUUCCUGGUGUAGCGGUGAAAUGCGUAGAGAUCAGGAAGAACACCGGUGGCGAAGGCGCUUUGCUAGGCCGCAACUGACACUGAGGGACGAAAGCUAGGGGAGCGAAUGGG
rnacentral:rRNA from 1 species